rnacentral:rRNA from 1 species
AUUGAACGCUGGCGGCAGGCCUAACACAUGCAAGUCGAACGAGUGGCGGACGGGUGAGUAAUGUCUGGGAAACUGACUGAUGGAGGGGGAUAACUACUGGAAACGGUAGCUAAUACCGCAUACCAUCGGAUGUGCCCAGAUGGGAUUAGUUAGUAGGUGGGGUAAAGGCUAACCUAGGCGACGAUCCCUAGCAGGUCUGAGAGGAGGACCAGCCACACUGGAACUGAGACACGGUCCAGAUUCCUACGGGAGGCAGCAGGGGGGAAUAUUGGACCAUGGGCGCAAGCCUGAUGCCGCCAUGCCGCGUGUAUGAAGAAGGCCUUCGGGUUGUAAAGUACUUUCCGCGGGGAGGCGUUACCCGCAGAAGAAGCACCGGCUAACUCCGUGCCAGCAGCCGCGGUAAUUC